rnacentral:rRNA from 1 species
GGGGAACCCGCACAAGCGGCGGAGCAUGCGGAUUAAUUCGAUGCAACGCGAAGAACCUUACCAAGGCUUGACAUAUACGAGAACGGGCCAGAAAUGGUCAACUCUUUGGACACUCGUAAACAGGUGGUGCAUGGUUGUCGGUCAGCUCGUGUCGUGAGAUGUUGGGUUAAGUCCCGCAACGAGCGCAACCCUCGUUCUAUGUUGCCAGCACGUCAUGGUGGGAACUCAUGGAAUACUGCCGGGGUCAACUCGGAGGAAGGUGAGGAUGACGUCAAAUCAUCAUGCCCCUUAUGUCUUGGGCUUCACGCAUGCUACAAUGGCCGGUACAAUGGGCUGCAAUGCCGCAAGGUGGAGCGAAUCCCAAAAAGCCGGUCCCAGUUCGGAUUGAGGUCUGCAACUCGACCUCAUGAAGUUGGAAUCGCUAGUAAUCGCGGAUCAGCACGCCGCGGUGAAUACGUUCCCGGGCCUU